CCUACGGGAGGCAGCAGUCGAGAAUUUUCACAAUGGGGGAAACCCUGAUGGAGCGACGCCGCGUGGAGGAUGAAGGCCUUCGGGUCGUAAACUCCUGUCAUGCGGGAACAAGAAAGUGAUAGUACCGCAAGAGGAAGAGACGGCUAACUCUGUGCCAGCAGCCGCGGUAAUACAGAGGUCUCAAGCGUUGUUCGGAUUCAUUGGGCGUAAAGGGUGCGUAGGUGGUCAUGUAAGUCUAAUGUGAAAUCUCGGGGCUCAACCCCGAAAUUGCAUCGGAUACUGCGUGACUAGAGGACUGUAGAGGAGAUUGGAAUUCACGGUGUAGCAGUGAAAUGCGUAGAUAUCGUGAGGAAGACCAGUUGCGAAGGCGAAUCUCUGGGCAGUUCCUGACACUGAGGCACGAAGGCCAGGGGAGCAAACGGGAUUAGAUACCCGAGUAG
rnacentral:rRNA from 1 species